AAUAGGUGCACAACAAAAUAACCACUGACUGAAUAUACUCAGUCUUUAACAGGCAGUUUGUUACAAUCCACUCCUUCCCUGACCUCAUUGUGGUUUAUAGUUUAUGUUUAAUGACAUUUAGUUUCGGCUUCCCUGCCAUGGUAACAGUCUCUUGGUUUCUCUAAAAUGAAUGAAUGAAUGCAUGAAUGGAUGAAUGAAUGAGUCUAGAGAAAGUUAGUGUCAAAGUCUGGAUUAGAACCUAGGUCUUCUGACAUUCAGACUAGUUUCUUCCUGUUAUGCCUCAUUAUUGACUAUUUACAGCCUGCAGAAGUUACCAUUUUUAGCUACCAAUGACUUUCUUCACAGAAUUGGAAAAAACUACUUUAAAGUUCAUAUGGAACCAAAAAAGAGCCCGCAUUGCCAAGUCAAUCUUCAGCCAAAAGAACAAAG
rnacentral:lncRNA from 1 species